rnacentral:rRNA from 1 species
GAUGAACGCUAGCUACAGGCUUAACACAUGCAAGUCGAGGGGAAACGCCAUCGAAAGCUUGCUUUUGAUGGGCGUCGACCGGCGCACGGGUGAGUAACGCGUAUCCAACCUGCCCACCACUUGGGGAUAACCUUGCGAAAGUAAGACUAAUACCCAAUGACGUCUCUAGAAGACAUCUGAAAGAGAUUAAAGAUUUAUCGGUGAUGGAUGGGGAUGCGUCUGAUUAGCUUGUUGGCGGGGUAACGGCCCACCAAGGCGACGAUCAGUAGGGGUUCUGAGAGGAAGGUCCCCCACAUUGGAACUGAGACACGGUCCAAACUCCUACGGGAGGCAGCAGUGAGGAAUAUUGGUCAAUGGACGAGAGUCUGAACCAGCCAAGUAGCGUGCAGGAUGACGGCCCUAUGGGUUGUAAACUGCUUUUAGAAGGGAAUAAAGUGAGUCUCGUGAGACUUUUUGCAUGUACCUUAUGAAUAAGGACCGGCUAAUUCCGUG